rnacentral:rRNA from 1 species
CCUACGGGAGGCUGCAGUGAGGAAUAUUGGUCAAUGGCCGUAAGGCUGAACCAGCCAAGUAGCGUGAGGGAAGACUGCCCUAUGGGUUGUAAACCUCUUUUAUGCGGGGAUAAAGGUGUCCACGUGUGGAUGUUUGCAGGUACCGCAUGAAUAAGGACCGGCUAAUUCCGUGCCAGCAGCCGCGGUAAUACGGAAGGUCCGGGCGUUAUCCGGAUUUAUUGGGUUUAAAGGGAGCGUAGAUGGGUUGUUAAGUCAGUUGUGAAAGUUUGCGGCUCAACCGUAAAAUUGCAAUUGAUACUGGCGGUCUUGAGUACAGUAGAGGUAGGCGGAAUUCGUGGUGUAGCGGUGGAAUGCUUAGAUAUCACGAAGAACUCCGAUUGCGAAGGCAGCUUACUAAACUGCCACUGACAUUGAUGCUCGAAAGUGUGGGUAUCGAACAGGAUUAGAUACCCGAGUAGUC